rnacentral:lncRNA from 1 species
ACAUUGGAAAGAUAGAUUUGAGGCAUUCCAUCAAGACAGUGUGAUAUGGCUAAGGGAAAGAGAGCAAGUCAUUGAGGAUUACGAUACCUUUAGGAGAACUAUCAAUUUCUUGCAAGCAGACAAAGAUGGGUACCGUGCAAAGCUCAACGGUUUGGUGCAAUUCUGCAAUUGGAUAACCCAAGAAAUGCCUUGGAGAUUGAGAGAGGCAGUGGAAGGAUUGGACCAGCAUGACACACAUCCUGCUGUAAUCCAUUUUGUUAUGAUGUGUGAGGGGAUGGUGAAGAGGUUCAACUCUGAAUUAGAAGAACUCAUAACUCGAAAGACUUCUGUGUGAUUCUUCUGUUUUUCUUAUAUUCAGUUAGUAUUUGAGCUGUAUCGAUUUGGGCGGUUAUGCCUUUGUACUCCGUACUUUAAAUAUUUGAAUGGAAGAGGAUGAUCCUCAUUUUUAUUUCCUGACUUUAUGUUUUCUCUAAAUGCUUAAUACAACUACAAUCGUGAUGAAAAUUCCCUGAAAAUAAAAUAUGCAUAACAUUUGCAUCCUCAUGCAUCACGCUUCAUAAAAACAAAAAAACUUACCCAACCUUUUGCCAUCUACCAGUAAACGCUGACUAA